GGGGGCAACCCUGAUCCAGCAAUGCCGCGUGAGUGAAGAAGGCCUUCGGGUUGUAAAGCUCUUUUGUCAGGGAAGAAACGGUGGUCUNUAAUAUAGACUGCUAAUGACGGUACCUGAAGAAUAAGCNCCGGCUAACUACGUGCCAGCAGCCGNGGUAAUACGUAGGGUGCAAGCGUUNAUNGGAAUUACUGGGCGUAAAGCGUGCGCAGGNGGUUAUAUAAGUCAGAUGUGAAAUCCCCGGGCUCAACCUGGGAACUGCAUUUGAGACUGUAUGGCUAGAGUGUGUCAGAGGGGGGUAGAAUUCCACGUGUAGCAGUGAAAUGCGUAGAUAUGNGGAGGAAUACCGAUGGNGAAGGCAGCCCCCUGGGAUAACACUGACGCUCAUGCANGAAAGCGUGGGGAGCAAACAGGAUUAGAUACCCUGGUNGUCCNCNCCCUAAACGAUGUCUACUAGUUGUCGGGUCUUAAUUGNCUNGGUAACG
rnacentral:rRNA from 1 species